UAAAAUUUAAAAUGUAACACUUGUAAUGAUGAAACAAUAAAGUGUAUUAACAACUUUUAUAUUUGCUUUAUUAGAGUUUGGAUAAAAAUAUUAAAAUAAUAUAUCAAUACUAAUAAUAGUUUCGAUUACAAGAAUAAAGGAUAAUAUUUACGCUAAAAUAUAAAUUUCGGGUUUUCGGGCCGGCCCUAGCCCAAACGGGCUGAAGCCCAAAAUACCCAAAGCCCAAAUGGGCUUAGCCCGAAAGGCCCAAUUUUUUUGGGCUUAUAAAGCGAAGCCCAAGCCCGUUAAUUUUUAGGGUUGGGCGGGCUCGGACUACGGGCUUCGGCCCUAAUUGACAUGUCUAUGUCUGAGUGUAAAAUUAAUGUUUGAGUGUAUUUUAAUUUCUAUUUUAAUUAGAUCAAAAAAUUUUAUAUUUUAAUUUAUGUUUGAUUAAACCAAAGGAUAAAAAUGAUAAUUAGAGUUUUGAUAUAAAAAAAACGAAAAAUAAUAUUUUUUUACUUCAAGUUCUAAACCCUAAAUUCCAACAUUUGACAUUUACAAUAAAUUAAGUUAAACUUACGAUUUGGAUAGAUAGUGUCCAAACCCUAAACUUAAUUCAGUUUUCUAAACCCUAAACAUGAAAUUCAAAACUUCUAUAUUUUCAUAAUAUAGAUUACAUCAAUCUUAAACUUUAUAUCAAAAUUUAAUCAUUUAAAGAUCUAAUAUAAAAUUUAAAAUCUAAACCUUAAACACUAAAUCUUAAAUUUACACCCUAAAUAUAAUAUCUUAAACCCUACGUACAAAAGUCCUAAAUCUAAUCUUUUCAUAUAAUAUAAUUACUAAACUAAAACCUAUUGAAAUUAAAUCAUAAUUAUAAAUCCAAAAUGUAACAAUUGUUUCUAUAUACAUAUAUUAUAAAUCAUUCGUUUUUUUGGAUCAAAAUAAGAUCAUCAUAUAUAUUUUUUAAAAUAAGUAAGAAACGUGGAUUGUGGUGUUCAUAAAAAAAAGAAGUAAGAAAAGUGCUGUUAGCCAAUGAAAUAAGAAGGCGAGGAUUGCUCAACUUUUAAUCUGAACCGUUGAUAGAAGUUUAUCAAACGAUGCAGAUCUGUCUCCUAUCUAUUCAUUUAUUUUCCACUCUUUUCUUCUCUGCUGGUGCUAAUCUUCUCAUCUCUUUUUUUUUUUUUCUCUUUCUUCUCCGCUGGUGUCAAUAUCCUCAUCUUUUUUUCUUGUUAAUCAAUCCUCAUCUAUUUCUUCUCCGGGUUGAUUUAUGAGAGAUGCUAUUGUUGAGUAAGCGAGCAGAGACUCUGGAGGUCGUGCGCCGUAGAAGGUGUAGGAGGCUGAAGAGGUUGAUGGUGGUGGUCUCGGAAUAAACAGUGUUGGUCUCGACGUCGACAAUGGUGACAGCGAGGUGGAGGAGGCUGAAGAAGCUUAAAUAUGGUGGUCUUGGCUGGUGGUCUCGGCGUCAACAAGGAGUGUGGCGGAGAUUGAAGAAGAACGUGGUUUAGUUAGGGUUAGUUAGGUUUAGUUAGGGUUAGUUAAUAAACUGGGUUUGUAUGUAAACCAGUUUUUAUAAUAAACCAAUAUCAUUUAUAAACCAAAAAUUUAAUAAUAAAUAAUUAUAUUCUUAAACCAA